rnacentral:tRNA from 1 species
GCCUGUGUAGCUCAGUUGGUUAGAGCACUGCACCGGAAUCGCAGGGCCGUAGGUUCAAUUCCUACCAGAGGAC